rnacentral:rRNA from 1 species
AACGAACGCUGGCGGCAGGCUUAACACAUGCAAGUCGAACGGGUGCAGCAAUGCAUCAGUGGCAGACGGGUGAGUAACACGUGGGAACCUUCCUAGGAGUACGGAACAACUCAGGGAAACUUGAGCUAAUACCGUAUACGUCCGUGAGGAGAAAGAUUUAUCGCCCUUAGACGGGCCCGCGUCGGAUUAGCUAGUUGGUGGGGUAACGGCCUACCAAGGCGACGAUCCGUAGCUGAUCUUAGAGGAUGAUCAGCCACACUGGGACUGAGACACAGCCCAGACUCCUACGGGAGGCAGCAGUGGGGAAUCUUGGACAAUGGGCGCAAGCCUGAUCCAGCCAUGCCGCGUGAGUGAAGAAGGUCUUCGGAUUGUAAAGCUCUUUUGCCAGGGACGAUAAUGACGGUACCUGGAGAAUAAGCCCCGGCAAACUUCGUGCCAGCCGCCGCAGUAA